rnacentral:lncRNA from 1 species
CAACCACAUGCAAAGCAUCAAGAUGCAAAAUCAUCAAAUCACACAGAUGUCUCCAGGAAACUGAAACUACUAUUUCAGAAAGCAAUUACUAAUUUCUUGAAAGAGGGUCUGUAAGAAUACUGUUGACCUAAUCAUCAUUUCUGGUCUGCAAACUGAACAAGCACAUCAAUUCUCUUCUACUGCCUCUAUGGCCAAAUCAAAACUGAGGAUGGAGGACUUGGGAUACUGGGAAUGAUGCAGUCUGUGGAAG